CUGGGAGAGGCAGAGCAAGCUGGAGGAUUCCCUCUGAAUGAUUAAAAACUCCGCAAUUCUCUUCUGCCACAGGCUGAGAAGGACCCAAGGAACUGCUCUGUCUGAACUGUGCCGACGGGCAGGAGGAUGGGAGACAGGAACUGAGAGUCACAGAGGAAGGACAGGGGAGUCUGGCAUCUCAUUGGUAAGUGGCUGACAUUCCUUUACCAGUGACUGCUUUCUGUGAUUGUGCACUUCAUCUCCCAGCCACUUAGGAUUUUUGACACACUGGCUUCUGCAAAACCAUCCUUUCUUGCCAUGUUGCCAGAAUGUAAAAAAAAAAAAAAAAAAAACUGUUAGAUGAAGCUUUUCUUUUCCCCUUUUUCCUUUUUUACAACAUGCUAUUUUUUCUCUGCUUGGAUUUUAUGUUGAAAAGUUGAAGCGAGAGUAAAUAUAACCCUUUUGCAUAUCUCCUAAUGUCACCCAAAAUAGGAGUAAACGAUUCAUACAAACAAAUUUUAAGGUAAUAUAUACCAGGAUGGGGUAAGAGUGUUUCUACAAAACAAGCCAAAUGGUCAGAAAAAAAAAGGGAUGU
rnacentral:lncRNA from 1 species